CGUAACACAUUGGUAAUCUACCUCCAUCUCGAGUAUAACUCGGAGAAAUCCGGGACAAUCCUCGAUAGGCAUGAGGGGACGCAAGUCAUUCUCAUGUAAAGUUCCGACGGAUGGAGAGGAGCCUAUGGCCCAUCAGCUUGUUGGUAAGGUAAAAGCUUACCAAGGCUAUGACGGGUAGCGGGUGUGAGAGCAUGACCCGCCUCACUGGGACUGAAACACUGCCCAG
rnacentral:rRNA from 1 species